UUUAUUUUACAGAUUUUCACCAGAUGUAAUAAUGUAAUAACCUUAUAAAUGUGGAUAUAAUUUCCAGCAUACAUGUAUACAUAUACAUAUAUAUUCUUUUUUCUUUUUUUUUUACAGUCCACACUUUCUCUUCUUACCAAACCACGCUCUGACUGUUUUAUAUCACACACCUGCUCUGUCCAUCUUCAAGAGGAUGUCUCCACUCCACGCCCUCACCUCACCUUACCACCUCACUCCCUUGGUGCCCACGGCCUCACCUCACCGUACCACUCCACUCCCUUGGGCCCCAACUUUCUAGAGGGUUAGGUGCAUCUUCCCUGAAUUCAGUCUAGGCCCAGCAUUCCUCUGGUAUACAUAUGUUUGCUGCCUUAUAUCACAUGGGCUAUGCUCCCUGGUUAGUGGCUAAGUGUCUGAGAGUUCCAGGGGGUCCAGAUUAGUUGAGACUGCUGGUCUUCCUAUAUGGUCACCCUCCUCCUCAGCUUCUUGCAGCCCUACCUCCACCAUGGGAGUCACCAGCUUCUGUCCAUAGGUUGGGUAUAAAUAUCUGCAUCUGACUCUUUCAACUGCUUGUUGGGUCUUUGGUUCGGCAGUCAUGAUAGGGCCCUGUAGUGGCUAUUCCUGGUUGGCAACUUUACUGUAUCUGAAAUGAACUAAAAUCCAGAAUUGGGAGGUCUACCUGUGGUCCUGAUGUUGAAGGUAGGAGAUACAAGUUUCUGACCUGGAGCUUUGCAUGGACAUUUUGAGGCAUAGUGGCUAUGGAUCCCAGGAGACUAAGACAAGGAGAUCUCUGAGUUCAAGGUUAUCUGGGACAGAACAAAUAGCUUAUCUAGACAUGUUGGCACACACCUUUAAUCUAGGCCACACCUGCUCUAGACCUACAUAAGGACAUUGGAAGAAGGAGGAUUCUCUCUUCUUUGCCUGCUUGCCUUGUGGGAUCCAUUCACAGCUGCUGCUGACCAUUGUUGGGGAGCUGGACUACUGACUGGAUGUUUUCCUGAAUGUUUCUGUGUGAAUUACCAGAGGAGUCCAGAAGAAGGCCAGAGGAGUGUGGGAAUACAGCUACAACAAAUGUUUAGAUAACAUGUGGUUUAUGAGGAUGGAACCUGUGUCCGCCAUAACAAGGCUCAUUGUUCUUAAGUCUCAGUAUAUUUCUAGUCACUUUUUAAAAUAAUAUUGAUUUUUAAAAUAAUAAUCAAAAUAAUAACAUUUUGAUUAAAACAUAUUAGGUUAAUUUCCCCUUAUUAUUCUCUAAAUCCCUUCAAAAAGUUUCCCAGCUCACUUGGUCAUUGUUAAGUAUGUGCAGUUAAUUACGCACAAAUGUAAAAAUAAAGUUUUCGUUGGACAUUC